UGGCGGACGGGUGAGUAAUGUCUGGGAAACUGCCCGAUGGAGGGGGAUAACUACUGGAAACGGUAGCUAAUACCGCAUAACGUCGCAAGACCAAAGAGGGGGACCUUCGGGCCUCUUGCCAUCGGAUGUGCCCAGAUGGGAUUAGCUAGUAGGUGGGGUAACGGCUCACCUAGGCGACGAUCCCUAGCCGGUCUGAGAGGAUGACCAGCCACACUGGAACUGAGACACGGUCCAG
rnacentral:rRNA from 1 species